rnacentral:rRNA from 1 species
CGUGAAACCGUCCAGGGGUAAACCUGCGAAACUCGAAUGAACGAACGGAGAGAUUCAUCGUCAUUCCUCGGCGCACUCGCGUCGGCUCGAUGUCAUCGGCCUCGGUCGGCGGCACGGGUCGCGUGUGUAGCGUCCGGGGACGGCGUGCACUUCUCUCUUAGUAAUACAUCGCGACCCGUUCGAUGUCGGUCUAAGUGCCCUUCGGGAGUCUAAGCUUCCUCGCGUUGAGUAGACCGUGAGGUGUCACCGACCGGCCGUCGGACGGUAUAACAUAGGAAACGCGCACGCGCUUGUCGCGUCCGGCCCGACGCAAGGCAACGUCGUAUCCCUCGUCCUGCCCGAGUGCGGACGGGGGUGCGGCGCGCCUGUCGCUCGCUGCCGUGAGUCUCGGACUGUGCGCGUGUCCGUCUGCGA